AACAGGGCGCACCAGUCGCGUGCUCUAGACCCGAAGCGGAGUGAUCUACCCAUGGGCAGGUUGAAGCACGUGUAAGAGCGUGUGGAGGACCGAACCCACUUAGGUUGAAAACUGAGGGGAUGACCUGUGGGUAGGGGUGAAAGGCCAAUCAAACUCCGUGAUAGCUGGUUCUCCCCGAAAUGCAUUUAGGUGCAGCGUCAUGUGUUUCUUGCCGGAGGUAGAGCUACUGGAUGGCCGAUGGGCCCUACAAGGUUACUGACGUCAACCAAACUCCGAAUGCCGGUAAGUGAGAGCAUGGCAGUGAGACUGCGGGCGUAAGGUUCGUGGUCGAGAGGGAAACAGCCCAGACCACCGGCUAAGGCCCCAAGCGUGUGCUAAGUGGGAAAGGAUGUGGAGUUGCACAGGACAACCAGGAGGUUGGCUUAGAAGCAGCCACCCUUGAAAGAGUGCGUAAUAGCUCACUGGUCAAGU
rnacentral:ncRNA from 1 species